rnacentral:rRNA from 1 species
CAGUAGCCACGGUAAUACAGAGGGUGCGAGCGUUAAUCGGAUUUACUGGGCGUAAAGCGUGCGUAGGCGGUUUCUUAAGUCGGAUGUGAAAUCCCUGAGCUUAACUUAGGAAUUGCAUUCGAUACUGGGAAGCUAGAGUAUGGGAGAGGAUGGUAGAAUUCCAGGUGUAGCGGUGAAAUGCGUAGAGAUCUGGAGGAAUACCGAUGGCGAAGGCAGCCAUCUGGCCUAAUACUGACGCUGAGGUACGAAAGCAUGGGGAGCAAACAGGAUUAGAUACCCGUGUAGUCCCUGUCUCUUAUAC